GACGAACGCUGGCGGUGUGCUUAACACAUGCAAGUCGAACGAUGAAGCUGGAGCUUGCUCCGGUGGAUUAGUGGCGAACGGGUGAGUAACACGUGAGCAAUCUGCCCUUGACUCUGGGAUAACUGCGGGAAACUGUAGCUAAUACCGGAUACUUUCACUGGAAGGCAUCUUCUGGUGAAGAAAGAAUUUCGGUCAAGGAUGAGCUCGCGGUCUAUCAGCUUGUUGGUGAGGUAACGGCUCACCAAGGCGACGACGGGUAGCCGGCCUGAGAGGGUGACCGGCCACACUGGGACUGAGACACGGCCCAGAUUCCUACGGGAGGCAGCAGUGGGGAAUAUUGCACAAUGGGCGCAAGCCUGAUGCAGCAACGCCGCGUGAGGGAUGAAGGCCUUCGGGUUGUAAACCUCUUUUAGCAGGGAAGAAGCGAAAGUGACGGUACCUGCAGAAAAAGCACCGGCUAACUACGUGCCAGCCGCCGCGGUAA
rnacentral:rRNA from 1 species